rnacentral:lncRNA from 1 species
GGAGGUACAACCUCAGAGUAGACACCGACAGGCCGGGCUUCCUCCAAUCUACACCUCCACUCUAUCUCUCUCAAUCUAGUAGAUAUAGUCUACUCACAUUAGAUGCUAAGCCCUAAGUCUAUUUAGAGGAGAGGUUAUCCUUUGAGGGCUCCUCUCAACUCUAUGAUGAACUUGUUCUCCUCCAGGGGCUAGGGGGUCUGCUUAUAUAGUCCCCUCAGGUAAACGUGGGCCGUUGGAUCAAACCAACAUUGAUUGAACGGUUAUCCUUGAUCCUUUAGGUCGGUGGAGCGUGAUCCGCGAAGUUGGACGAGAUUGGUUACAACUCCAGGGCGGGCGCCCUGCCCCCGGGCCCGAUCGCCUUCCGGUUCGUUCCCGUGGCUUCUGGAGUCUUCUAGAUGGUAGAAAAUUGCGCGGUGCGUUAAUAUAUCUAUGUAAUCCCGACAUGUGGGCCUUUCUUCUUUAUUUCCUGAUAACCCCCUAUAGAAACAGAUAAACAACAAAACUCGUGGAAUUCUGUCAGAUCAAACCCUAAUUCUAGGUGUUGGUUGCAUAUUGGUCCUUUCCCUUGGUUAUUUGAUAAUUAAAAUUGAUACUUAAGAACCAUCAACAAACACUCCCAUACUUAGGCUUUUACUCGUCCUCAAGAAAAUGAUGGUUCAGAAAAAUACCUGGGGUUAAAACAUUGUAAAGCAUUCUCUUCAUACCUGCAGGGUGUUGUAAAAAUUCACUGUGUACCGUAGUCAGGGAAAUAUAUGGUUAAGAGUAGAGGUCCUUUCUUCUUAAUCCUGUCACUUGGAGUUUUUUAUAUAUUUUUGAAAAGAAAUUUAGCAUACCUUUAUCUUCAUAGGUUUUCUCAGAUCACCGCAUUAUCUUUUAUAUCUCACUGAGGCUGUUUUAAUUUGCAAAAAUUCUCAAGCAUACUUACCUUGUAUUUAUUGCUUGAUCAAAAUGGGAUCCGAGGAGAAGAAUGCCAUACUCUUAGAUCAAAGACUUUGGAAAUUAAAAACUUGUCAACUCUUACUGGCAUAUUGCUUAUUAGAGGGACCAUGGGCUAUCAUUUUUUUUCUUUUCUCCUUUUUUUUAAGUGGAUACCGAGGUACCCCUAAUUCUACUACCGGACACUUGUCCAUUUUUCUGCGAGGUUGUCGAGCACUUGCUCCUUUUUAUUUCGUCGAAAUAUUCAUAUUUUUGCAUAGCACAUGCCUCUAAUGCAAUAAUACUUCGGAAGAGUGAAUCUUUCUGAAUAAAUGUCUUGAUCUUAGGAGUAUGAUAAAUCUCUCAACAAGGGUCUAACUUAUUUUGAACAAACUCAAUACAGAGCAGAUAGCUUUUCUAAUUAUAUUAAUAUUUUUAGGUUUAGUAUGCAUAUAAAACACUGAGGAUGGUAGCUAGAAUUUUUUCAAUAAAUUCUCCAAGCAGCAAUGAUAUCCAGAAUAAGGUACUCAUACUCUACUAUCUCACAUUCCACAAUGACUUAAGUAACCCAGGGUUUUAAAAUGAUUUUUCAAUGAUAACAGGUUUUCAGGAAAUAUCACAGAGUGAGAUUAAUCAUGAUUAGAAACAUUUUAAUCUUUUUAAUUUAUCAUGUCGGAGACAAUAUUCUGCAUAAUCGAAGAUAUAUGUGUAUGUGUAAAGUAAAGUGUGCAGAGUAUGUACCCAAAUCGUGGAGUGAUGUAGUCGAAGUGUGUUUGGCAUGUCGAGGGAUCUCCCCCAUACUUGUUUUCUGCUUUUUUGUAUAAAAAAUAAAGUAGAGACACACAAGACAUAAUAAUAAUAAUACUCUUUAUUAAUCUUGAGGCAUUUAUUACAAAUGACUAGGAAUGAACUAAAGCUAAUAGUAAAUCUAAACCGAAUUUAAAGAUAAAUAACUAAGAUGCAUUGCCUCAAGAUCUAAUCUAGAUAACUUAGCGGUGCUCUAACUCCCUGAUCUUAGCAAGAUCAUGCCUAAGACCUAGUAUAAUGGUGUUGUGGUUAGAGAGCUACCUAGUGAUGGAGUUAACCGAGGACUGGAGGUCUAUGAUGACCCUGUCUAGCCUGUCAACGUCCUCAUCAAUAUCUACUAUAGUCUUGCGACGCUUAGGAGGUGUAUCAAAAGCAUUGAGAGCGUGCUUCGGGGCUGCCUUUGGAGGGAUGAAACAGACUUUGGCUACUCUAGUCCCCUCAAAGUAAGGCCUCUCUUCCUCUAUAGUGUAGCGGAUGCUGCUUAUCUCGCCGCUCCGGUUGGUCUUGACUCCAACGACCCUCUCAUUGGGUCUGGGUGGUAGGAUCCUUGUGCCGGCUAGCACCUUGAUGGUGGCCUCCUUCUUGGCUGAUGGUCCCUUGAGAAGUAGGUGCUGUGACGGUGCGGUGAGAACUGGUUGAGCAUGGUAGGAUUGGGCAGAGCUGCGCUGGCAUAAUGGUAUGGCUUCUAGCUAUCGCUCUGUGUUGGCCGGGACGAGAGCGUGGGCGUCGGGAUCUUCCAUGGGCUUCAUGUUGAGGUUUAAGGGGACGACUUCCCAAUCGUCAUGGAACUCUUCAGCCAUUGGAGCAGCGAGGGACUAAACAAGCUCUAAUUGAAGAAGGAGAGAAGGCUUGAAUAGAUUGGUGUUUGAAAACUGAUGUCAGGGGUCUGUUUAUAUAUUGGUGUUUCAAAAAGUGCCUC